UUGAUAAGGACGACCUUCUGUGGUCUUAAAUCAAGCCAUCAUAAAGGUGACAGCGUAAUAAUGUUGUUUAGAGAGUAGCGUACCAAUGGAAAUGUGAGGAAGACAUCCAUGUGAAUUGUGUUGUCCUUGUUUUCCUCCCACCUUGUUAUUGAUGCGCCUCUUCAUCCUCGCAGCACGAUGCUCAUGCUGUGUAUCUAUCGGGUGGGGAUCUAUUCGUCUUGUCACCGCUUGCAUCUCCUGCCUGUCUAUAUUCAUAGCCAGCUUCUUCUUGGCUCGCAUUCAGCUGCUGAAUCAUCACUUUGACUCUCUUCCUGUCCAACACACACGCAGCGCCCAAACAUCCGUCAUUUCCACACAUCCAUGCAGCAAAGAGGAAGAAUAAUUAGUUAAUAUUGAGCUUCUUAAGGUAUCCAAUCCAGACACUUGGGUCCACCACAACACUGACUACAGCCGCGCUGCUAACACAAAAUAGCAGCACAACAUGUACAUAGGCGCAACAUACAUAGGGCCACUAUGACUAUGAGGAAUAAUAAACUACUAUGUUAGCUCUACACACGUAACCUUUUACAGUACUACUAUACACGCUGGGACUCAGCAUCACUCCCAUUUUAGGGGUGGACAAAACCUCUUUAUCUCCAACUAUUGUCAUAUUAAACCUCAUGGACCCUAUGGAUUAUGGAUACUUGCUGCAGACUAUUCCAGCUACAUGUUUUGAUCUGACAAAUCUCAAGUAACUUUGAUCAAAUGUAGACGGACUACAGCGUCUGCUUGGCGGCAGCAAUUCAACUGCAAUGGAAAAAAAAAACAGCCAUGCAUCACUCGCUGGCACUGGGGACAACGAGUUAGGGUGGAUUGCAAGGUUUACGUAAAGCACUUGAUGUGGGCUUCCAAUAGUGCCGCUUCCAUAUCACGUGGAUUGCACUGGUCUACAAGCAAAAGGCUUCCAGGAGAAAAGUAGUGACAAUUUUCUUGGUUUGGAUCAUAAAGGAAAAGUAAGUCAGAUAGACUACAGUUUCCAAGGUGCAGUAUUGGAUCAAAAUGGGAAAUUUGCGCCAAAUAAGGCAAAAAAAGGUAGUUCAUCAGAAUGUACAGUUUGUCUACAAGCAACCGCUUCUAUCUGAACGCCUGUCUGCACAUUCCAAUACAUUCAUUUGAAGAUGUGUUCAAGUUCUGACCUAAAUCUUUUGGUUUUAAUUGCAGAAAUGUCUCGGAGGUGGACAAAAUGCCGUCAUGUAGAGACGUUUCAUGAACAUGUUUCAAGUUUAUUGGAAACUACCAUGUAGAUAAUUAUAAGCAGCUGGCGGAAAACCUCCAGAAGUGCGAUAAAGCCCUCGACUGCAAUAUGUCACUGAAGAUACACUUUUUGCAUUCUUAUCUUGAUCCAGUGGUGUUAGCAUUCAUAGUAGCGAUACCAUGGUUCACGGUCUGAUUCCUGGCUGCCCCGUUCCCACCAGACAGCUUUUCUCUAAAAACACCCCAAACUUAGAUUGUCAUGACUGGGACCUUUAUCUUUGACAGUCUCUUCAGGUGCACCCAUGUUUAUAUACGCCCCAAUACACAGCGUGCAACAUGUCAUGUGAUGAAGGUGUGUGUCCUGUUAUGAAUAUGAAUAUGAAUAUGCAUUGAAGAACUUGAUAUUGACCUAAUUACACACGUUGCUGGUGUUUCUCGCUGUAGGCAAGGCAGGUGUGUGUGUUAGGGAGAGUAUAUGAAUAUUGGAGGAGGAGUAGGAGUUUAAUAAGGCAUUUAUGUUCUUUCUCUCCCAGGGGGCCACAUUGAGGGGCAAGAGACUGGCCUCCAUGAAUGGCAGAUUUGGGCCAAUUAAGCUCAAAUUGAAACAUGGACUCUACACAAGUCUUACACACACACACACACACACACACACACAGGCAUGGUUUGACAACACCUGGUAGAUACACCCUCCCGUUCCGUCAUACACCAACAUUUGCCUUCUGUUCCACGUCGGAGGCACUAAAGCAGAUAUGCCUGUUUUGUACACACACACACACACACACACACACACACACACACACACACACACACACACACACACACACACUUUUUAGUGCACACGUUCACUGCAGCCCGUCUCACUGGCAACACUCACACCCACUGCAGCACCGCCUUUUUUCAUCCUUCCAGCGUGUUUGUGAUCUCACCGGGGAAGCCUGGAUUCCGAGCAGCGGAAAGCUUCUAUGGAGGAAUAUUCAUGAUGGCUACAUUACAAACUCAAUGCCGCACAUUCACCGCUCCCUGGGCUGCACGGUGGUGACGUGGUGGGUUUGUGUGUCUUCAAGGGUCUUCUAACGCUGAAGCAGAUGGUGUCGUACAUGAGAGAUUCUUUUGUUUAUUUUGAUUGGGCGUUUUGUCACAAACACGCUCGCCUUUCCACAUUAGACACGGAAGACAACAACCGCAACACACAAACGUUCAAUCCAGAUUCAGGCUCGUUCAAUUAUUCAUGGCGCUAUUGCAGCGAGAGAGAGCCAUGGAGGCGGCAGUGAGGCAAAGGAAGGUGUUUUAAGGAAGGGAUCAUUAGGCAUGGAAUAUGUUCACGUCCUUGGUGCCCCCGUGGACUGUUUGACUGCUAGUUAUGUCCUUAUUCCCACAAUCAUUGGCUCUCCCUUUUCCGACACUAAUGUGUAAAGUCCCAGUUUACAUGCCGCAUGACUCCGUGAUGCUCGUGUGAUUUUGGUCAUUUGGUUCAUUUAGCUGUGUGGGUGGAGGAAGAUCAAUCAAUCAUCAAUCAAUCAUCAAUCAAUCAUCAAUCAAUCAUCAAUCAAUCAUCAAUCAAUCAUCAAUCAAUCAUCAAUCAAUCAUCAAUCAAUCAUCAAUCAAUCAUCAAUCAAUCAUCAAUCAAUCAUCAAUCAAUCAUCAAUCAAUCAUCAAUCAAUCAUCAAUCAAUCAUCAAUCAAUCAUCAAUCAAUCAUCAAUCAAUCAUCAAUCAAACAAUCCAAGUGUAAAAUGUAGACAGUAAGUAAUCACUGCUAAUGAAUCAGAAUGAAUGGAGAUGCUCCAUGUUGGCUUUUUAAGGAUGUCUGACAAAUACAUAUUGUCCACCACUUCAUUCUCAAAUCUAAGAUGGCCACCCCGGGAUGAUUGACGGUAAAAUGUUUAUUUGAAUGAAUCAAUGCAGUGGCAGGAUAAGCACUAAGAUCAGUCCAAGGAUAAAAGACAAACUAGAGACAGCACACCUGAAGUAACAGAGGCCUGUCAGUCAAACUCAGCAGGUGCGAGUGAUGAAAAUCAAGCAUGUUGGCAAGGUGGGAAAUGAUUUCAAAAUAAGAGUUAGACAGCCAGCAAACUACACAAUGCUUACUUUUCUUGCUUCAAUUCAGCUUUCUUGUUCAUGCUUCUAUGAGUGUGUGUAGUCAGUGACUGUAACAUACUACAAAUGCAAGUACACUCUUAAAAAUGCUGGGUUAUUUUUUUGACCCAAUCGCUGGGUUGAGCCUGUUGGGUCAUUUAAUUGGGUUAUUUUUAUUGAGUUGGGUAUUCUGAGAACCCAAUUCGCUGGGUUAUCUCUGUUGGGUGCUGAGUUAUUUGCUGCUGGGUUGUGAUUUCCAUUAUAUUGUGCUGGGUUAUUUUGGACAACCCAGAGCGUUGGGUAGAAUUUUGGACACGCGCAACAAAGCCCCGCCCACAAACUUACUUCGUUCGGACCCCACAUUUCAUCUGAGGAGACCAAUUUCAGCACGGAGCAAGGUUUGUUACAUGCCCACUAUUGUUUUACCGUAGAAUUGACUUUAUAUUAUUAUAUAAAGCUUCAUAAACUUGUUAAAAUGUAAGUUCGUGAAGCACUGUUGAGUACUAGCUUCAGGAAUGGAUCAGUAACCUUAGCAAACUUCCAUUCCCUCCAAAAGUGGCAAGCGAACACAUUCGCUGGCGAGCUAUGGAGGAACCAAACUAUGUUGUAGAAGUUACAAGAGACGUGCACUAUGUUUGAUAGUUAUGAGGACAACGUCAGUUAUCUCGUCAAUUUGCCAUUUUAUGUGAUAUCAAGUUAAUGAAUCUCGUGAAUUAAUACGAGCGUGCUGAUGAACCGGUGUUUUUUUUAAGCUAGACUGCUGCAUGCUAGCGGGCUUCCGUUAGCCACCGAUAGUCCACUGUAUACUUACAGUUUGAACUAGUUUGGGCGCAAAUUCGACGACAGUUUUGUAAGUCGCAUAUAAAUGUGGAGAAUACGUUUGGACUACUGAAUCUUAUUUCAUUUCAUGGUAUGUUUGUUCUUAUGGACCCUCUUUGUGAUGUUUCAGUUCGCUGAAAAGCAUCUAUGGAUGAGUUUAUCAGUUCCAAAUUGACUGAGAGGCAGCUACCAGGGCUGAUUGAAAGAUGCCAGGGGAGAAGUCGCCCUGACGCUUCUGCCCAUCCUGCUCCCUCCGCCUGUGUUUAAAAAGGGCUGGAAAUUGGUCCGGGAUAGUAUUCAGGAGUCAAAGAGAGCCUUCAUCGAUGUUAAGCUGGUCAGAGCUAACAUGGUGGAAUCACCUACUCGGUUGUGCUGCUGCUCACAGAGCCUCUUGUUCUAUGUAUAUAUCACUCUCUCAUAGCUGUCCCCCUCACCCGUUCUUAAAAUGUUAUUUUUUUGUACAUAGUUUGUUCAUAUGUGAAGGAAAUGUUGUGAGUUGUUAUAUUUUUAUGUUCUGGAAAUGUUGAAUUUUAAUAAAAAUUUUAUUGUUACAUUGGUGUCAUUAUUGUAAUAUAUUAUUAAUAGUAUUAGCAUACAAUAAAAAUAAAUAAAUAUAUAUAUAUAUAUAUAUAUAUAUAUGGUAUAUUGGCAACCCAACUUGCUGGGUUGAAAUAACCCAGCCGUGUAGUAAAUAUGAACCCAGCGUUGGGUCAUAUGAACAACCCAAUGUACAACCCAAUUGUUGGGUUAAGAGAACCAACCCAACUUGUUGGGUUAAAAUAACCCAACGCGAGGUUGGUCCUAUAUUUAACCAGCGUUGGGUUGAAAAACAACCCAGAUUGGGUUGUUUUUAACCCAGCAUUUUUAAGAGUGUACUAUAUAUACAUGUACUUUAAAUAUGCUCAAAACAAGUAGCUAGCCAAAACACGGGAUAGCUGAAAGCUACAUCACAUCAUCAAGUUUCCAAACACAUUCAAAUAAUAAUUCAGGAAGAUUUAAGAUUGCUAUUUGAAGUACUUUUUACAGAUAGAUACUCACAAAGACGGACGUUUCCCAAGGCUCAAACAUUUGAGAAGAAACGCAGCUCGUUUAUGAGCUUUUCACUUUUUGUUUCUGCCUUUGCUAGCUUGUUCUGCACCAAGAGAAGGAAAAACGUCAAAGAUUGUCGAAUCGUGAGAAGAGAACUCUGUGACAGCUGUCACUCAUACGAAGAUGUCUCACUCUUAACAUAUUUAUUGGCCAACUAUGAACCCAAUUACACAUUUGAAUUCAACUCAGAAACCACAGGAAACCACUGUCUUUGCCCCAAAGACAGGACGGAGGGUACAAGGCUUCAGGUCAGAUGUAUGAAGGCGUACGGAACAGUGAAAAGUAUUGGAACCAUUGUUCUAGAAUAUUCUGCCAUUUGUGAAAUCAUUAAAUCUGUAGAGUUUUCUUGUAUUCGUACAACAUGAAUAUGUAGCAUGAGUUUGGCUGCUGGUUAGUGAAACAUGUUCCCUCCAGCGGGCUUGUUUUCUUCUCUAACGACUGUCAGUCGCCCCCCCCCCCCCCCAACCCCCACCCCCCUCCUGGUGUAAGGCUCCUCUUUUCUCCACCUUAUUCUCAUAUUCUCUCUGAGCUUGUGUCGUCACCAAUUGACCUCUGACCUUGAACUCUCCAUUCCCCCUUGGGAGGUUACAUCAUCUUGUAUGCAGUUCAGUACAGUGGAGGAAGUAUAUAAGUAUAAAUAUAGUAUAAAUAUACGUAUACAUUACUAGCAUGAGGCCCACCUCCAACCUCGAUACCACCCUUGGUAUUGAUACUGGAAAUGUAGUCAGUGGGUUCUUACACUUUCUCCCUUGUGGAAGUUAUGUCAAUGCAGCCCACCGCUAUGUGUAGACAACACCCCACCGCCCACCCCCUGAGGAGCCCCCCCCCCCCACACACACACAUUAUGUACUGAUAUGAGAUGUAACUUGUUCCCUGAGGAGAGAAGUGAGGGCGACAGAGAGAUCUGCAUGCAGCAGGCGGUAACACGACAAAGUUAAAAUCGUAACAAUCUGCAGGGAAUGUGGGAAUGUGGGAUUGUGGGAAUGUGGGACGGCGAGCGGCGAGCAGGCGUGCUGUGAGAAUAAAAAAGGAGCCCACAGCUGCCCAAGUCCAACUCACACAAAGACAAAUAAAGCAGGAGAAGAACAAUGUGAGAAGACAUGACUAAUACUAUCUAACAACGCCCCAGUUUCUAUUUACUGUGUUCCCUCACACCCUCAGUAGCCAACUUCAUUUUUUACAAUUCUUAUAUACACUCGAUAUAUGCUGGUUUCUCACGUUUAUUUCUUGUUGGAACACUCAAUAAACGUCACACCAUCGUUUUUAGGGAUCAACCUAAAGGUUGGACACAGGAAACGAUCACAGAUAUUUCACUCCUGUGGCCGUGCCUUUUCCGUUCUGGCGCCGUUCCGCUGCACGUAGCAUUUUUGUAUCCUUGUUAAAACACAUUGCUUUUUCCUCAGUUCUCAUACACUGUCUGGUUAUCCAAUCCAAUGCACUUUAUUUAUAGAGCACAUUUUAUAAACAAGUGCUGCACAGACUAGUAAAAUAAAAAGUAAAAAUAAAAUACAAUAGAUUUAAAGGUACAAAUGGAAUUUAAUCCAAAACUAAAAGAUCAAAUAAAAAAUAAAAUAGUAAAAUAGAUAUUAAAAUAUUAAAAACAAGAAGCAAAGCAAUAAAAGUACAAAAAAAUAAAAGCAAUAAAAAUAAAGAGCUAAAAGACUCAGGACCAUACGACUAACUCCGAGUUAAAAGCCAGAGAAUAAAAGUGGGUUUUAAGACGAGACUUAAAGCUUUCGAUGUCGGGGGCCUUUUUUACUUGGGAGGGGGGAGAGCUCCAUAGCUUGGGGCCAACCCCAGAAAAGGCUCGGUCCCCCCUGGUCUUAAGUCUCGUCUUGGGCACCACAAGUUGGAGCUGGCCCUCGGACCUCAGUGACCGUGCUAGAGAGUAAACUUGGAUGAGGUCCGAGAUGUAUUUGGGGGCCGUUUGGUUACCAUCCACCAUCGUACAUAACAAUCUGUUCUACUGUAUUUGGACCCCCUGCUGCAUUCAAUCUUGUGGUAGUCACAAACAUCUGGACCCGACUCCCAGCAUGGUAUCCCUCAGGUGUGUCUGCACGUUCUUGGUGGCUUGUGGGCCAAAGUGGGAACGUUAUCAGCUGUUUGCAAGGUUCUGAUAGCUCCCACUUUGUGUUCCGGUGGGUGGUGUAAGUCAAAAGUAGGUAUUGGUCGGUGUACAGACAACUGCAACAGAGGGGGAACUAAUUAGGUUAAAAGUGUCGGCAGCGUGUUCCUGUGCCAAGCCCCCCCCCCCCUUCUAACAUCACCCUUGAGGAAAGAAAAGAUGAGCAAAGAUGAAAACAUGGUAAUCCUGCCAGCAGACAAGGGGGGUGUUGAUUUCACUGGUCUACAAGCUCCCGGGACAAAAGUCGGGACAUUUUUUCUUGGUUUCGAUCACCAACAAAGACAAAGUAUGUCAGAAGUUUGAUUGGCUGUACUGUAGUUUCCAAGGUACAGUAUUGGGUCCAAGUAGUAGAAGCCAAAAGUGUCAUUCAAAUACUGAAUGAUGGGAAAAUUCCUCUUCCGGGUCACACAUCUUGCAGAUUGUACUCUUAUUGUGUGGGUAGAAAAUACUGUCGCUUUUUUGUUGAGAGGAUGACAAGAUGUAGGAUGAACAGUGAAACAAUCAACAAGGUUAAAACAACCAUAGUCAAACAUCCGCAGCCGGCUCUCCCUACCUUUUCAUGGCUCAGCCAAUCAGCAGUCAGAAGGAAAAUACAACAGACAUCAACAGGGAUGUUUACAAAAAUAUCCAUCCACUUGGUUGAAGUUUAAAAAAUGAAAUCAAAUCCCAUUCAGGGCCCUAACCCCCCCCCCCCCACCCCACCCCCCCCACCCCCACAGCUGGGUGGAGCAUUGUAUUGCUAUGUUCCUUUUGCUAGCUUUCUGUUUAUUACCUUUCCAAUUCCACAGAUGGCCCCGGAGCCGUAGAUUUAACACCCAUACAUGUUUCCCCAGUAAGGAAUAAGUAAGUAAGUAAGUAAGUGUUGCCAGGAAAUGGAGGAAGUGUGUCUAAACUCUGCUGUCUUGGCUCCGUCGCUGGUCAGGUAUCGGUUUGCAUUGUGGAGGGCUUUAUGCAGCUUUCCCACCGGCAUUGAGUUGGAGCUCCACUUCCUGUGGCGCGUUGACUGCUUGCACUUAACGACCAAAUAAAUGCAUGACGUGUGUAUGCAUUAAAAGGCUACGCUGCUGCACACUAAACCCCUCCCUGCUCUUCCUCGUCCUUUCCAGUAUCUGACACCUUUCAAGUGGACGGGCUAACGUGAGGUGUUUGACACAGCUCUUAUAUCGGAUCUCAGUCAAUUCUGCACAUUGGAUCAAUCAUUUGCAAUGCAUGACAACAUUUUUUAUGCAAAUUCAGUUGCCGUGCAGAUUAUACUUUCAUAUCUGUGACAUUAUGAUAUGUUUGCAGCAACCUAUCCUCUUCUGAAGGGACUUCCCUGCUUGAUGGACACAUUCCCAUUGCACAGGGGGAUGAGAAAUGUGAUGAGGACUGCAGCUGACCCCCCCCUUCCUCAGAGAUCCCCCACAUUAUUCCCUCAUGUCCCAUUCCUGGGCGUCAGCCAUGCAUAUUUCAGUGAGGAUUCAGCAAGGGAGUGAGUGGCAGUAGGUGAGGGCACGGCAUAUUAAUAAAUCAAAGCAAAAUGGUGUGGAGGGAUUUUAUGCUGAGUGGGCACUUAUGGAAGUAAGCACAUGGAAGGCCCGAGUCACACGUGUCCUUCUUGGGCCAAAACCAAACCAAUCCAGGUCAUUUUAGCUUUGUUUUGUUUUGGAGCUGACAAAGCAAAUGAGUGUCAUAUCUAAUAAUAUAUGUCGUGAUAAUGAAUUACUUAUCAUAUUUACCCUCAACCCUUCUUUAGCAAAAUGCUGGCACUUGCAACUUUCUUUGGCUCCUUUGUGGGUUACUUUGUCGCUGUGAUCUAAAGAUGAAUGGGUGUAACUGUGUUAGUUAGCCAAGAACUACACAGUUCAAAAAACACUGGUGAUGUCAUCAAUGAGUGACGGAGGACCAUGACUUCCUGUUUUGGUUUUUAUGACGACAGUACCAGGCUGACGUAAAAGGAUGUUUCCACACCAAAACAUUCCCGUGUGGACAGGCCCUAAGGCGAGGAGGAAGUGAGGGGCCGCAGCACCACUCUUGUCGAUUCCUGUACUUCUCACAGGUACUUUCCUGUGUAGUACUGACAAACUGAACAACAUCCAGGUUGUUCAUGUUGAUAUCAGUACAUAAUAACCCCCCACUACUCCUCUAGGGGGGGAGUGGACAAGUUGCGGCCAACGUUUAAAUGGCUCAAUGACAAAAUCCCUGAAUCAGCAUUUAUAAUGAUGGCCAACUAAAACCUUUCUCUAGUUUCUAUACUGCUUUUAUACCAGGAUUCAUCUACUGUAUUUAUGAAGCUAUUGUGUGUGAAAAUGAUGACAGCCCAUAUAUACUGUACUUGGGGGGGGGGGGGGGGGCAUUGUGUGACAGACUCUGUGUGAUUUGCACGCGGGACAAGAUGACAGAAGCCGUCCAUCAGCCGCUGGCCUCAGCAUGAGCACAAAUACAUACUCAUCUCAAAACAGAUAAACAGCAUAAUUACACAAUUCCCUGUGGCGACAUAAAGAGCAUCUGUCAUUCCGUGUUCUUGGAAUGUAUGUACCAAUGCACGGGCAAGUUGAGCUCAUUCGGCUUCAUCACUUCCAUCAUUUGCAUAUCAACAUUUGUAGACAGAUUUUAUUAGAUGUUUACCGACCACUCCCGGGUAAUAAAGCAAAUACAAUGAAGACAACGUCUUGGCAAACCAGUUUAUGAGGCCGCAGUAGCUCAGUUUGAAAGGAUUUGGACUGCUGCUAGUUCUUAUUGAGUAACCCUUGAGCAAGUCUCGGAUCAGGUACGCGGCCACAAAGAACCGAAGAGGAUAAGCAGCAGACCACUAACAUCAUCCAUCCUUGUUCAGCUCAUUUAUUUUCCUAGCAAGCCCAGGGUUCAAAUCCUAUUUGCGCUACCUCUAUGUGUCCACAAGAUCAGUUGUUGUAAGAACACGCAGGUUGCAAAAAAAGGAAGGAUGUGUUUUAUUCCUCCUCCUAAAUCAGCAUUUGAUUGUCUUUGACGUCCGUCUGCUGUUUGUUGAUUUAUUGACUUUUCCCACCUCAGCUUGAGGAGGGAUCUCUCCCGGGACUUGGACACACCGUCACACUCCAGCUGCUGAUGUUUAAGGUCUAUGAAGACCACGGAGACCAGUGUAGGAUGCAUACAGGGACCAGCCUAGACCGUACUUGAUAGAGGAUCCCUAGGUUAGUCCUGAAAGGAAGGAUCAGGGGUUAGGUUUAGGUUUAUGUUUCCUGCGGAGUAGCUUCCUGCUGCGACCUAUAUCCCUUUUGAUCCCAGCCGGGUUUUUCCUCUCUAUACUCCAGGACUCCGCUGAUGGGUCAAUGUCGCAAGUUCCACUCCCUGCUGCCUUGCCCCGUUAGAGAACAAAGGGGGGCGGUCUCUAUUUCUCACCAGUUGGCUUCUUUGGUUCUCAACACUGCACUUCAGGGGGUGAUUGGUCAUCGGGAGUACUGGGAGAUUUCCCUGGUGGGCCAACCAGAACUGGGCUGAGAGCAUUUAAUGGACUUGUUUAUUAUUGCCUCUUCCAAUGCUAGGCUACAUUAAAUGGAACUAGGACAAGCUAAGCACCAGCACCAAGUCCAAAACAUCCACUCAACUUCAAAAAUGUUUGCUGAGGUGUGACUGGCCGUGCCCAUGAGCACCCGGACUUGCACAACAGGGUUUUUACCCGUUGGCUGAAGUUCGAGUUCAUCUGUCAGUUGCUAACAUGGUCGUGUUUUGCCUGGGACAUGUUAGCUACGCAGACUUGAAUAUCACAGGAUUCAUUUAAAUAACAUCUAAAUCUGUGCAUGUGCAUGCAUAAGUACUACACAAGGUACCACAAAAGGUACCACAAAAGGUACCACACAAGGUACCACACAAGGUACUGGUGUAGCCCGGUUUUUGUAUGAUUCGUUUUUUCUAUUGCAAUUUUUGGUUUGGUACCCUGCUGUGAAGCCUGAAAAGGAAUGAAUGUUCAGGAGAACAAAUAGCCGUCAGACGGAAGGAGAAUAACAGAAGGACAUAGCUAGCUGGACGGGAUGGCACGAGGGAAGGCCAAAAGCAAACUGGCAUAAUCCAGGGGUGAAGAGCUUGGACGGACCUUGGCGUCUCCAGCAUGAAGAAUAGCCGGUGUCAUCCAGUCGCCAAAAUGAGUAAAAAUAGCCAGACCACGGAAGGCCUGUGACAGUAGCAGGAUGUCAGACAUAUUGCCUUUUUACGUACAGCUUCUUCUGGGCAUUGGUGCUCUUUUGUUUUGUUAGCCUGAAUUUAGCUCUAUUUUGGCAUCUAGUGAACUUGACUCCGGUAUUAUGUAUUCCAUCUGGGUCAUGCUGGCAACAAACUGUAUUUUAAGAAGAUACGGAUGGUGGUGGUGUGACAGGCAACCUUUGUUUGUGUGUUGUGCAACAAAAACAUCAAGUUCUUUAGGACGAGACUUCAAGAAACCAGAAAGAGAAUUGGCACUUGGCCAAUAUGCAAACACGGCUCAGGGACAGAACACGUUGUUUUCCCAGCUGAAUGUUGUUUAUUCCACUUCCCAAGAAAAGUUGGGAACGCACACCGGGAGCAGAGCACUUUGUCAUUCUAUUCACAGCAAAUUUGACCCAGCUUCUUUUCUGCAGUGCAUCAUGGAGGAUUACGGAGCGGUGAUGCAUCGCUUUCUCUCAGCUAAUGAAAAUCCACUUCAAGGACAAGAUUAAGAAAAUGGAGCAGUCUUGUGUUUCCACAAAAGGUUUAGGUAUUCACUGUAAGCACGUCUUGUAUAACUAGAGAAGCUAUCUCCUCUUUGAAUUGCAUGUGAAGCUGAAGAACUGAAGCUGAACUAAAACGUGGACUUUUGGAACGUGGAACGUUGUUAGCUUGAAUGUUUGGAUGCUGGGAUGCUCACCGAUGAAAGAAAGAUCUCAUGGAUACACGUGGACGUAUCCUGGGAUCACUGAUCAUACGUCCUCCCGACUUCCCAGUAGUGGUCCACGGAUCAGCCCUCUUAAUCCAAAGCCACCUUCUGGCCUUCUCUGUGGCUUCACUCGCAGACUGAAUGGCCUUCUAUUUAUUCUCUUUGGAUGCCCCCUGAUACCCCAAUCAUACCCCAGUCUCUACAAACCACAUCUUUAGGCUCAUAGAUACAAGAUAUAUACAAUAUUUAUACAAUAUCUCCAAGAUAUAAGCAGGAUAUACAGUAUGUAUGUAUGUACAUAUGGACAGACAGUACUUUGCCCCCCCGCUCAACUUGUCCCAGUCGCCCAUAAACAUGGUCCACACCUCGUGGUGGCGUCACAAGCAAAUAGCACGGAUGCCAAAUGCAAGGGACACGAGGCCAUUGCCAGUGUGGAAGUGGUAAGUUCCACACAGAAUAAGUUUGGAAUAAGUAAAUUAAGGAGGGUGUCUAGUUACCUUGGUACUUUGCUAUGUUGGUGGCAGCCAUCUUUUGUUCCUGCAUCGAUCCCAUAGCCUGAACAAUGAGAUUUAAAGGAAGAGGACUAGAGUGUAAAAGUGAGUGUAGGGCAGUAUUUCAUGUCUACAGGCCUCUAGUGUUUAGAAAGUCAUAAACAGGUUUUUAAUGUUUAACUACAAAAAUAUUCAGUAUACUUUCUGGAAAUUGCGUUCGUGUACGGAACAAAGUAACCGCGAUAAACGAGGGAUGGCGGCAUGAUCAACUAAUACCCUCCAUGUUGGAGUCUUCAUCAACCCUCGGGUGGUCAGCUGUAGCUUGAUGAGCAUAUGGUGUAACCACACACAAGACCAAUGCACGGUGACAUUAAGUAUCACAAUUUUAUUAGAAAAAUUAAAUUGUUCAUCUGUCAUAUUUGCCAUGCUUGGAGCAUAUAACAAUGCAGUAAAAAACCCACGCCCAGAAAAGAUAGUAAAGCAGAUUUCCACAAUGCUUUCACAGCACUCUGUCGUUCAUGCUGUUACUAUACAGAUACUGUAACAUUCCUAAUACAGAGCAGUACAAACACCUGCCAAAACAUGUCCGAUGACGAUCCCAAACAAUGAACGUAACCCAGCUGGAGAAGAGGAGAACAAAAAGCCAUAAACACGGAAUCUGCUGACUAUUUGUAGCGGCCCAAGGCACCCAGGCUUUGUGACAAAGUUGGCGAGUUACAGAAAGACUUGAAGCAAACGACAAACAGGAAGCCACUUUUCAUGGCCGCUCAUGCCCUCCUCUCCUUCCAGUCUCUCCGUCCAUCACAGUGCAAGUUCCGGAUAAGCCGGACAGCGUAAAGGAGGAGGACGAGGAGGAGGAGGAGGAGGAAGAGGAAGCGUUAUCACGCAAGACUUCUCUUCUCAGCAUCAACCACUGACAAGACUUGACAACAGUUCCUGUCUAAAGAGAACCGGGUGGGAGUGGUCAUGUCAUCCUGGCUCGGAUGGUGACGUGUCCAGACACGGGGUGCACAUUUCCAGCAGAAGAAGAAGAAGAAGAAGAAGAAGCCAAAACCAAAAAAGCUAAGUUGUGCUUUCAAUUGAACCGAAUGGAUUUUUUAACUGUUGUUCAGCACAUAAAUGGUAGAAAUCCCAGAUUUAAGCUUUACAACUCAAGUCAAGAUCAACUGGCCUCUAAACAAACAUCAAAUGAAGACAAGAACGACAAAAGCUCAGAAACACGGAGGCCUUUUCUUCUCAAAAUGCAGUUCAGUUGCCCGAACGACAAGGCUCAAAAGACCAUUUGGUUGCUCCGCCAAAUAUUUCGAUGUUGCUCUCCAUCCAAGAAAAGACGUUGCCAGUCGGCGCUUUGCUGUUGCAAGUUGCCAGGUUGUAGAUUUCGGUGAUGGACAGCUUCCUAUUCCAGAUGUUUAGGUUUGCUAGCUCGCCCACGAAGGCUUGUGUUGCAUCAAAGCCUCCUCCCAGUAUGUCCUGUGAAAGGAAGCAGGGCAAACACAAAUAGAUGAGGAACUUUUAAUAACCGAGGAUACCGACACAUGACCCCCGCAAGCUCGAAACCUAAACACCGCACCUGCUCUUGUCCCAGGACCAGCACCCCCUCUGGUUUGAUGGGGUGAUACGGUGCCAGAUUCUCCCCAUUUCCCCUCAUCACGCCAUCCUGGAAGGCCUCCCACAUCCCGUCUCGUGUGGUCCAUGUGAUGCAGAGAUGAUGCCAUUUGCCGUCAUUGAUGAGGAACGGCAGCUUUGCAACCUGGAGGAGACACGUUGAAGGUUCUAUUAGUCACGGGUCCAACCACAAGACCUUCUCCCAGUGCAUGACCUGAGGGGCCGCUAGACGUCAACACUGACAUUAUCAUUGUCUUGCAGCU